AACGAACGCUGGCGGCAUGCCUAACACAUGCAAGUCGAACGAGACCUUCGGGUCUAGUGGCGCACGGGUGCGUAACGCGUGGGAACCUGCCCUUAGGUUCGGAAUAACUCCCCGAAAGGGGUGCUAAUACCGGAUAAUGUCUUCGGACCAAAGAUUUAUCGCCUUUGGAUGGGCCCGCGUUGGAUUAGCUAGUUGGUAGGGUAAAAGCCUACCAAGGCGACGAUCCAUAGCUGGUCUGAGAGGAUGAUCAGCCACACUGGGACUGAGACACGGCCCAGACUCCUACGCGAGGCAGCAGUGGGGAAUAUUGGACAAUGGGCGAAAGCCUGAUCCAGCAAGGCCGCGUGAGUGAUGAAGGCCUUAGAGUUGUAAAGCUCUUUUACCCGGGAUGAUAAUGACAGUACCGGGAGAAUAAGCUCCGGCUAACUCCGUG
rnacentral:rRNA from 1 species